rnacentral:rRNA from 1 species
UACGAAGGGGGCUAGCGUUGUUCGGAUUUACUGGGCGUAAAGCGCACGUAGGCGGAUCGUUAAGUCGGGGGUGAAAUCCUGGAGCUCAACUCCAGAACUGCCUUCGAUACUGGCGAUCUCGAGUUCGGGGGAGGUGAGUGGAACUGCGAGUGUAGAGGUGAAAUUCGUAGAUAUUCGCAAGAACACCAGUGGCGAAGGCGGCUCACUGGCCCGAUACUGACGCUGAGGUGCGAAAGCGUGGGGAGCAAACAGG